CCCCUUCUCUCUCUCUCUCUCUCUCUCUCUCUCUCUCUCUCUCUCUCUCUCUCUCUCUCUCUCUCUCUCUCUCAUUCUCUCCUCUCUUUCUCUAUUUCUUUCUCCCUUAUUCUUUCUCUUAUUCUCUCUCUCUCAUUCUCUCCUCUCUUUCUUUUUCUUUCUCCCUUAUUCUUUCUCUUAUUCUCUCUCCCCAUUCUCUCUCUCUCUCUGUCUUUCUCUGUUAUUCUCUCUCCCUCUCCUCAUUCUCCCUCCCUCAUUCUCUCUCUCUCUCUCUCUCUCCCUCUCUCUCUCUCUCUCUCUCUCUCUCUCUCUCUAUAUAUAUAUAUAUAUAUAUAUAUAUAUAUAUGUAUGUAUGUAUGUAUGUAUAUCCCAACCAUCAACUAAUCACCAACCCACACUACCAGCAACCAACCCCAAUGACCAACUCACACCUAGCAGUCAACUUCCCCACUACUGCCAGCCACUGAUUCCUUUUAUAACCCUUUUCUACCUCCCUUCCUGUCUCUAUGGUUUCUCCUUCCUGUCACUAUGAGCUGGUUAAUCCCUAUGGUAAGAGGACCUCCAGGUCCCCCAUUAAAUUUAAAAAAAGGAAUAAAGAAUUCCUUUUUACAACUGUUAAUUCA
rnacentral:lncRNA from 1 species